rnacentral:rRNA from 1 species
GUCUUUUUGGUUAAUAAUUUAAAGUCUAAUCUGCCCACUGAUAAUAUAUUAAAGGGCUGCAGUAUUUUGACUGUACAAAGGUAGCAUAAUCAUUAGUCUCUUAAUUGGUGACUUGUAUGAAAGAUUUGAUGAGAUAUAUACUGUCUCUUUUUAAUUUAUAAAAUUUAAUUUUUUAGUUAAAAAGCUAAAAUAUAUUUAAAAGACGAGAAGACCCUAUAGAGUUUUAUAUUUAUAUAAAUUAAAAUUUUUUAUAAGCUUUAAAAUUUUAAUUUAUAUAAAUAUUUUGUUGGGGUGAUAAAAAAAUUAAAAUAACUUUUUUUAUAAUUUUACAUUAAUAAAUGAAUAAAUGAUCCGUAAUUUACGAUUAUAAGAUAAAAUUACCUUAGGGAUAACAGCGUAAUUUUUUUUUUUAGUUCAAAUAAGAAAAAAAGUUUGCGACCUCGAUGUUGGAUUAAGAUAAAAUUUAAAUGCAAAAGUUUAAAAUUUUUGAUCUGUUCGAUCAUUAAAAUCUUACA